GCUUGGUAGUACUGGGUGGGAGACCGCCUGGGAAUACCGGGU
rnacentral:rRNA from 1 species